UCCGACUUGACGUCGGCAGUCUCGUUAGAGUGCCCCACUUAAGGCUGGCAACUAAUGACAGAGGUUGCGCUCGUUGCGGGACUUAACCCAACAUCUCACGACACGAGCUGACGACAGCCAUGCAGCACCGUCUCACUAGUUCCCCGAAAGGCACCCCGACAUCUCUGUCAGGUUCUAGUGGAUUUAACCCAGGUAAGGUUCUGCGCGUUGCGUCGAAUUGAACCACAUGCUCCACCGCUUGUGCGGGCCCCCGUCAAUUCCUUUGAGUUUCAGUCUUGCGACCGUACUCCCCAGGCGGAAUGCUUAAAGCAUUAGCGACGGCACCCGAGGACUAUAUAACCCCAGACACCAAGCAUUCAUCGUUUAAGGCUAGGACUAC
rnacentral:misc_RNA from 1 species